CAGGAGGUAAGAAACCUUCAUUGAAGUCAGUGGAAGUGCCUCACAACUGUACCCAGGAUUAAUCUGGCCCAGUGUGUUGUAUUUGUAUACAUUCACUUUUCAGGUACAUGAAGUACAUAGUUGAUACAUGAUAGAGGACAUUACAAUAUAUCCAGAUCUUAGGAAAGUGUAUUAAGAAGUUCUGUUGCAGAAUAUAAAAGUAAGAUAAGAUCAGGUAUGAUAUCUGAUAUACUCAUCUGGGACUCGCAAAGUAAGAAGCUGAUGGUUGAGGUAUCUAUUGGUUUAGCCUUUAGAUUAUUUUAGAUUAAAAAUGCAAUUUCAACACUGCACAACUGGUGUAAAAUAUUAUGUACUGUAAACUCUAUUCUUCUGGUCUGCUCUGUUUAAAGUGGGACAUUAUGCUGUUAGACACCACUGAUGGAGGUCUGGAAUUUUGGAAAGUAUAAUUGCUAUUAUCUGAUGCUGCAAAAUAGUCAUUGCCUCAUGUGAGACAAGGAUUAGGCAUUUAUAUAUAUAUUUUUAGAAGUGAUGUCCCAAACAGAACCAUUGAAUUUAGGAAUAUAUAAUAUUAGACACCAACAAGUGAAAAUAAACAAAAAACAGCACAGCACUUGUGUUUUCAGUUUUGUCUGGUUUGCAAUAUUUAUUAGCUCAACUUAUUAGGAUAUUAGUGAUAAAUAAGGAUAAUAUUUUCUUUUACAGAAAACUGUUUAAUUUAUUAUAAUAUUAUU